GAUGAAGAACGCAGCGAAAUGCGAUACGUAAUGUGAAUUGCAGAUUUCAGUGAAUCAUCGAAUCUUUGAACGCACAUUGCGCCCGCUAGCAUUCUGGCGGGCAUGCCUGUUCGAGCGUCAUUUCAACCAUCAAGCCCUAGGCUUGCGUUGGAGCCCUGCGGCUGCCGCAGGCUCCCAAAUCCAGUGGCGGGCUCGUCGUCGUACCGAGUGCAGUAAACAUCCUCGCUCAGGGAACGUGACGGGUUCUUGCCGUGAAACCCCCCACAUAUCAAGGUUGACCUCGGAUCAGGUAGGAAUACCCGCUGAACUUAAGCAUAUCAAUAAGCGGAGGA
rnacentral:misc_RNA from 1 species